rnacentral:rRNA from 1 species
CCUACGGGUGGCAGCAGUGAGGAAUAUUGGUCAAUGGCCGGAAGGCUGAACCAGCCAAGUCGCGUGAGGGAAUAAGGCCCUAUGGGUCGUAAACCUCUUUUGUCAGGGAGCAAAGGCGUCCACGUGUGGACGAGAGGAGAGGACCUGAAGACAAAGCAGCGGCCAACUCCGUGCCAGCAGCCGCGGUAAUACGGAGGAUGCGAGCGUUAUCCGGAUUUAUGGGGUGGAAAGGGAGCGUAGGCGGCAGCGCAAGUCUGAAGUGAAAUCCCAUGGCUUAACCAUGGAACUGCUUUGGAAACUGUGCGGCUGGAGUGCAGGAGAGGUAAGCGGCAUUCCUCGUGUAGCGGUGAAAUGCGUAGAUAUUAGGAGGAACACCAGUGGCGAAGGCGGCUUACUGGACUGUAACUGACGUUGAGGCUCGAAAGCGUGGGGAGCAAACAGGAUUAGAUACCCGAGUAGUC